GUGUCAGCAGCCGCGGUAAUACGUAGGGUGCGAGCGUUAAUCGGAAUUACUGGGCGUAAAGCGUGCGCAGGCGGUUUCGUAAGCCAGAUGUGAAAUCCCCGGGCUUAACCUGGGAACUGCAUUUGGGACUGCGAGGCUAGAGUACGGCAGAGGGAGGUGGAAUUCCACGUGUAGCAGUGAAAUGCGUAGAUAUGUGGAGGAACACCGAUGGCGAAGGCAGCCUCCUGGGCUAGUACUGACGCUCAUGCACGAAAGCGUGGGGAGCAAACAGGAUUAGAUACCCUGGUAGUCCACGCCCUAAACGAUGACAACUAGUUGUUGGGGAUUUAACAUCCUUAGUAACGCAGCUAACGCGUGAAGUUGUCCGCCUGGGGAGUACGGUCGCAAGAUUAAAACUUAAAGGAAUUGACGGGG
rnacentral:rRNA from 1 species